CCGACGAUGGAUAGGGGUUCUGAGAGGAAGGUCCCCCACAUUGGUACUGAGACACGGACCAAACUCCUACGGGAGGCAGCAGUGAGGAAUAUUGGUCAAUGGGCGUAAGCCUGAACCAGCCAAGUCGCGUGAGGGAUGAAGGUUCUAUGGAUCGUAAACCUCUUUUAUAAGGGAAUAAAGUGCGGGACGUGUCCCGUUUUGUAUGUACCUUAUGAAUAAGGAUCGGCUAACUCCGUGCCAGCAGCCGCGGUAAUACGGAGGAUCCGAGCGUUAUCCGGAUUUAUUGGGUUUAAAGGGUGCGUAGGCGGCCUUUUAAGUCAGCGGUGAAAGUCUGUGGCUCAACCAUAGAAUUGCCGUUGAAACUGGGAGGCUUGAGUAUGUUUGAGGCAGGCGGAAUGCGUGGUGUAGCGGUGAAAUGCUUAGAUAUCACGCAGAACCCCGAUUGCGAAGGCAGCCUGCCAAGCCAUGACUGACGCUGAUGCACGAAAGCGUGGGGAUCAAACAGGAUUAGAUACCCUGGUAGUCCACGCAGUAAACGAUGAUCACUAGCUGUUUGCGAUACACAGUAA
rnacentral:rRNA from 1 species